rnacentral:rRNA from 1 species
AUAACGGUCCUAAGGUAGCGAAAUUCCUUGUCGGGUAAGUUCCGACCCGCACGAAAGGCGUAACGAUUUGGGCACUGUCUCAACGAGAGACUCGGUGAAAUCAUAGUACCUGUGAAGAUGCAGGUUACCCGCGACAGGACGGAAAGACCCCGUGGAGCUUUACUGUAGCCUGAUAUUGAAAUUCGGCACAGCUUGUACAGGAUAGGUAGGAGCCUUUGAAACGUGAGCGCUAGCUUACGUGGAGGCGCUGGUGGGAUACUACCCUAGCUGUGUUGGCUUUCUAACCCGCACCACUUAUCGUGGUGGGAGACAGUGUCAGGCGGGCAGUUUGACUGGGGCGGUCGCCUCCUAAAAGGUAACGGAGGCGCUCAAAGGUUCCCUCAGAAUGGUUGGAAAUCAUUCAUAGAGUGUAAAGGCAUAAGGGAGCUUGACUGCGAGACCUACAAGUCGAGCAGGGUCGAAAGACGGA